ensembl:lncRNA
UAUAAGCACAUACUCACACUGAAUUCAACGUUAGGGAAAGUGAAUAAGUGUCCAUAGGUUUAGGGAUUUAGGUAAAAAUAUAUAUAAUCUUAGUCGGUAGAAAUCCAAGUUGCAAUCCGUGUGGUACGUAGAUACCUCUGGUAACUGCAGUCCCACGUUUGCAUGCAGUGGACUGGCAGUUUAGAAUAGUGUAGGGAUUUAGGUUUAGGGACUUAGGUAAAUACAUGAAGAGUUUAAAAAGGAAUGACGGGGCUCACUUGAGUUCCCUGAGGUCGACUCUUAGUCUGUAGAAAUCCAAGUUACAAUCCGUGUGGUACGUAGAUACCUCUGGUGACUGGGGUCCCACGUUUGCAUGCAGUGGGCUGGCAGUUUAGAAUAGAGCAGGGAUUUAUGUUAAUUUUAGUCUGUAGAAAUCCAAGUUGCAAUCCGUGUGGUACGUAGAUACCUCUGGUUUAGGGACUUAGGUAAAUAUAUGAAGAGUUUAAAAAGGAAUGACGGGGCUCACUUGAGUUCCCUGAG